rnacentral:rRNA from 1 species
GAUGAACGCUGGCGGCGUGCCUAAUACAUGCAAGUCGAGCGAACGGACGAGAAGCUUGCUUCUCUGAUGUUAGCGGCGGACGGGUGAGUAACACGUGGAUAACCUACCUAUAAGACUGGGAUAACUUCGGGAAACCGGAGCUAAUACCGGAUAAUAUUUUGAACCGCAUGGUUCAAAAGUGAAAGACGGUCUUGCUGUCACUUAUAGAUGGAUCCGCGCUGCAUUAGCUAGUUGGUAAGGUAACGGCUUACCAAGGCAACGAUGCAUAGCCGACCUGAGAGGGUGAUCGGCCACACUGGAACUGAGACACGGUCCAGACUCCUACGGGAGGCAGCAGUAGGGAAUCUUCCGCAAUGGGCGAAAGCCUGACGGAGCAACGCCGCGUGAGUGAUGAAGGUCUUCGGAUCGUAAAACUCUGUUAUUAGGGAAGAACAUAUGUGUAAGUAACUGUGCACAUCUUGACGGUACCUAAUCAGAAAGCCACGGCUAACUACGUGCCAGCAGCCGCGGUAAUACGUAGGUGGCAAGCGUUAUCCGGAAUUAUUGGGCGUAAAGCGCGCGUAGGCGGUUUUUUAAGUCUGAUGUGAAAGCCCACGGCUCAACCGUGGAGGGUCAUUGGAAACUGGAAAACUCGAGUGCAGAAGAGGAAAGUGGAAUUCCAUGUGUAGCGGUGAAAUGCGCAGAGAUAUGGAGGAACACCAGUGGCGAAGGCGACUUUCUGGUCUGUAACUGACGCUGAUGUGCGAAAGCGUGGGGAUCAAACAGGAUUAGAUACCCUGGUAGUCCACGCCGUAAACGAUGAGUGCUAAGUGUUAGGGGGUUUCCGCCCCUUAGUGCUGCAGCUAACGCAUUAAGCACUCCGCCUGGGGAGUACGACCGCAAGGUUGAAACUCAAAGGAAUUGACGGGGACCCGCACAAGCGGUGGAGCAUGUGGUUUAAUUCGAAGCAACGCGAAGAACCUUACCAAAUCUUGACAUCCUUUGACAACUCUAGAGAUAGAGCUUUCCCCUUCGGGGGACAAAGUGACAGGUGGUGCAUGGUUGUCGUCAGCUCGUGUCGUGAGAUGUUGGGUUAAGUCCCGCAACGAGCGCAACCCUUAAGCUUAGUUGCCAUCAUUAAGUUGGGCACUCUAAGUUGACUGCCGGUGACAAACCGGAGGAAGGUGGGGAUGACGUCAAAUCAUCAUGCCCCUUAUGAUUUGGGCUACACACGUGCUACAAUGGACAAUACAAAGGGCAGCGAAACCGCGAGGUCAAGCAAAUCCCAUAAAGUUGUUCUCAGUUCGGAUUGUAGUCUGCAACUCGACUACAUGAAGCUGGAAUCGCUAGUAAUCGUAGAUCAGCAUGCUACGGUGAAUACGUUCCCGGGUCU